rnacentral:rRNA from 1 species
UACGUAGGCAGCGAGCGUUGUUCGGAAUUACUGGGCGUAAAGAGUGUGUAGGCGGUGCUCUAAGUUCGGUGUGAAAUCUCCUGGCUCAACUGGGAGGGUGCGCCGGAAACUGGAGUGCUUGAGCGUGGGAGAGGAAAGCGGAAUUCCUGGUGUAGCGGUGAAAUGCGUAGAUAUCAGGAGGAACACCUGUGGUGUAGACGGCUUUCUGGACCAUAGCUGACGCUGAGACACGAAAGCUAGGGGAGCAAACAGG